AUACGCACACGCGGGAGCUCGCGCCAUGGCGGGCUGAGAGGGCGACUCGACGGUGUCGCCGACCGCAGAACCUGUUCGGGUAAUUCCGACGUAGGAAGGCAUGCCAUGACGGCUA
rnacentral:ncRNA from 1 species